rnacentral:lncRNA from 1 species
AUGUUUUCUUUUCUCCAGCUGUUACAUAUGACUUUUAAUCGAAGGGAAAUUGGAAACUCAAACGCAAAAGGGAAUCGAAUCCCAGGGGAAUUAGGAGUAGAGCAGACGACUCGUUUUGCUUGAUUUGGUUGGUUUCUGACUUUCUGCAGAGAGAAUGGUAUGGGAUGCCACUACGUAUUUACACUAUUCUCUGUUGAAAAAUAAAUUUAUUUUGUCAGUGAAUCUGGGACAGUGGGACUGAGGGUGUACAUGGCUUAGGCUGUGUUUGGAACUCCAAGUUCCCAACCCCUCUCCCUCGUUUUCCGCGCGCACGCUUUUCAAACUGCUAAACGGUGUAUUUUUUUUAAAAAGUUUCUAUACAAAAGUUGCUUAAAAAAUUCAAAUUAAUCCAUUUUUUAAAAAUAAAUUAGCCGAUUCUUAAUUAAUCACGCGCUAAUGGACCGCUCCGUUUUCCGUGCGGGGAGAUUGGGUUCCCAUCCCUGCUAUCCAAACACAGCCUUAGGGAGACGCUGAUCCGCGGCUGCAGGCGCGUGGUCAGUUUCCACCCUUUCGUCCUCCCCCAUAUACUACUGUAUGUACUCUCUCCGUCCAAAAUAUAGCAACCUAGAACCGAACGGGAUGUAUCCUAGUACUACGAAUCUAGACAUGUCCCUGUUCAGAUUCGUAGUAC